UCAUGUCCUUGAUCCAGUGCUGCAUCAUAAGCAAAGUUGUAUGAAGUCACCACAAGGCAAGGAGACAAAUGUCGAACCGAUGAAUUCCUUGGCCAAUCCCGACAAAGAAAAAAGACAAAACGAGAUCGCAUCAACGAAGCCGCCAAAUUUCCAAAGCAAGACCGGACGGGAGUCUUCGUCCAGACCCCGCGAUCAGAACUCGGAUUUGGGGCAGUUCAAGUUCAAACUCAACAUGAUCAGGAUCAGGCCACGUCUACAUCAACGCCCAACAGCAAGAGCAGGGUACAGUAAAAUGGAACAAAUAUCUUUGGCUAGGCAGGGCGCCACCGCAAUCGUUACCUGCGCGUCGUCAUCACGGUCCGU
rnacentral:misc_RNA from 1 species